UACGGGGGGGGCAAGCGUUGUUCGGAAUUACUGGGCGUAAAGGGCUCGUAGGCGGCCAACUAAGUCGGACGUGAAAUCCCCAGGCUCAACCUGGGAACUGCGUCCGAUACUGGAUGGCUUGAAUCCGGGAGAGGGAUGCAGAAUUCCAGGUGUAGCGGUGAAAUGCGUAGAGAUCGGGAGGAACAUCAGUGGCGAAGGCGGCCAUCUGGGACAACACUGACGCUGAAGCACGAAAGCGUGGGGAGCAAACAGG
rnacentral:rRNA from 1 species